UGAGUAACCUGCCCUUCACAUCGGAAUAACCAUUGGAAACGAUGGCUAAUACCGAAUACGACCUCCUUUCGCAUGAUCGGAGGUGGAAAGCUCCGGCGGAGAAGGAUGAGCUCGCGGCCUAUCAGCUAGUUGGUGUGGGUAAUGGCCCACCAAGGCGACGACGGGUAGCCGGCCUGAGAGGGUGACCGGCCACACUGGGACUGAGACACGGCCCAGACUCCUACGGGAGCAGCAGG
rnacentral:rRNA from 1 species